AGCAGCCGCGGUAAUUCCAGCUCCAAUAGCGUAUAUUAAAGUUGCUGCAGUUAAAAAGCUCGUAGUUGAAUUUCGGGAUCAAUAUGUUGGUCGUGCCUUGGUGCGUACUAGUUUAUUGAUUUCUCCCUUCUGACGAACUAUGAUGCCAUUAAUUUGGUGUCAUGGGGAAUCAGGACUGUUACUUUGAAAAAUUAGAGUGUUUAAAGCAGGCUCACGCUUGAAUACAUUAGCGUGGAAUAAUAAAAUAGGACGUUUGAUUCUAUUUUGUUGGUUUCUAGGAUCGACGUAAUGAUUAAUAGGGAUAGUUGGGGCAUUAGUAUUCAAUUGUCAGAGGUGAAAUUCUUGGAUUUAUUGAAGACUAACUACUGCGAAAGCAUUUGCCAAGGAUGUUUUCAUUAAUCAAGAACGAAAGUUAGGGGAUCGAAGACGAUCAGAUACCGUCGUAGUCUU
rnacentral:rRNA from 1 species